rnacentral:rRNA from 1 species
GGGCCCGCACAAGCGGUGGAGUAUGUGGUUUAAUUCGAUGCAACGCGAAGAACCUUACCAGGGUUUGACAUCCUGCGAAUCUCUUGGAAACGAGAGAGUGCCUUCGGGAACGCAGUGACAGGUGGUGCAUGGCUGUCGUCAGCUCGUGUCGUGAGAUGUUGGGUUAAGUCCCGCAACGAGCGCAACCCACGUCUUUAGUUGCCAGCAUUUAGUUGGGCACUCUAAGGAGACUGCCGAUGACAAAUCGGAGGAAGGUGGGGACGACGUCAAGUCAUCAUGGCCCUUACGUGUAGGGCUACACACGUGCUACAAUGGCCGGUACAAACGGUUGCGAACCCGCGAGGGAAGCUAA